UGGGUCGAGUUUUUUACUCUGGAUGGU
rnacentral:piRNA from 1 species